rnacentral:rRNA from 1 species
UUUAGGGGUAAACGGGAGAAAUCUGAAUAUCUGAAGGAAGUGAUUCACGUAAAAUCUACAUUGUAUUAUAUUUUAGAUCGAUGAUUAUUAAACUCCUUCCAUGUAACUUGUUAUAUGUGAAGGGUUUCGUUUAAUUUCACAAUUCUGAAAUGUAUAUUUAUAAUGUAGUUUACCGCAUUUCUACCUUCCUUAUACAAAAACGUCGCGACCCAUUGGAUUCCAGUCUAAGAUAUUUUAGGUAGUCCCAUAUAAUCGUACAUUUUUUUAAAUGUAUUGUUUAUUGUAUGUGGUCCUAGAAAUUAUCUGACUGAUUAUUCGAUGGUAUCAAAAUAAUAUAAAGAUAACCCGCGUAUUAACGCGUUUGAGUAUUUUUGUAAUUUUUUUUUUCAAUGUGAUUCUUUUAGUACGGACCUCAUGGUCCGUCUAGAGGUAAGCAUUGUUAACAAAAAUAUUCUCAAACAGUGGUUUUCUUCAUUCUUUGUCUGCGGCGAAUAUGUUUCAAAUUUUCGCCCGACCC